rnacentral:lncRNA from 1 species
UCCAGUUUAUGUUAAGGUCAGUUGCCACCUUUUUUACCUAUUAGUGAGAAAAAGGCAGGUGAAAAUCAUCAAUUAUGGGCAUCAGAAAGAAAUACAUCUUACUUUUGCUUUUCUUGAUACUUUUUCAGACUUCUGCACUUUAGUUUCACUUCAUGAAAGUUGACCAGAGAUCAUUUACUAGAUAAUGUUAUUAUAAUUUGUAAUUCUAAUGCCCAGUAGAUUCACAUGGUAGAUAUUUAUCUUUAUGUAAGUGGCUUCAAAAUAAACAGCAAAACCUAAAUUUUAAAUAAUCUAUAAAUAGCUUCUCUUUAGAGGUUUCAACUGCACAUAACAUCUUCCAAAAGUGAAUGUUGUGGGUUUAAAAUAUAUAUUUCCUACUUGAGACUAUCCUUUCAGAUAGAAAAUAACUAUUUAGAAAAUAUAGCCAUGAUAAUUUCUAUUAGUUUAAGAAACAAGCUGUGAAAUUUUUCUUUUUCUUUUGCAAAUAUGAAUGUGCAGUAAAGGGAAGGGUAAAUUGUGGUUCAGAGACCAGUUACUCUAUGAGAACAUGGAUCAACCAGAAGGUGCACUUGAAUGUAGGAUACGUCCAUAAUUUCCAUCUUAAAAAGAAAAUGGUAUGUAGUGGCUUUGGCUAUGGGUUGCAUUCAUAGGAAAUCUGUCACAAAACACAAAAGAUUGCUUUGCUAAUGUUUGGUACUGACAUUAUUAAUUCCAGGAAUUAGUCAGAAAAAUGAAGCAAAAGGUGUCAACUUAAAAAAGUCUCUUCCAUUUUAAGGAUAAAAUUCUGAAUCCUGGAGUCUCUUUAUUGGACAGAAAGAGACUAUGUUUCUUUUAAAGUUUAUUUUGUUUCUGGGGCCAGAAUUCAUGGGGGAAUAAAAGAUAUAUUUAGUAAUCUUAAAAUUCAGUUCUUCAGGCAAUAAUUUUUUACAUAAGUAUCAGAUAUUUUCAGAAUGUAUAUGCAUUAAUAUGUUCUUUUUUUGUUCUGAAUUUUUCUUUAUUUUUUAAUACACGACAGCAGUGGAAUGCAUUACAAUCCUUAUUACACAUAUAGAGUACCAUUUUUUGUAUCUCUGUAUAUAAAGUAUGUUCACGCCAAUUUAUGCCUUUAUACAUGUACUUUGUUUUGGUUUUUUUGCAUUACAAUUCUUAAUACACAUAUAUACCACAAUUUUUCACAUCUGUAUAUAAAUAACUUUUUUGGGGGGUGCUAGGGAUUGAACCUAGGGCCUCUACCAACUGAGCUAUAUCCCCAGCCCCAAUAUGUUCUUAUAAAUGUCAGUAGCUGAAUGUCUCUGCAAGAUGGCUCUAAAACGUGUAAACUUCUGGUCAGAAUUCUAAUAUUUGGUCAGAAAAAUCUGACUACUUAAUGUAGCUAUUUUAUGAAAUUUAACAUUGUACAUAUUUUCCUUUUUUUUCUCCUUAAAAUGUUGAAUGUAAAGUUUAUUAUUUCUUACAAGUAACUAGGGCUGAUCUUAAUUUUUAAUUUAUAGUGGAGAUUUGUUAUAAAACUUUUCAGAGCAUCAUAAUAGGGCUAAACAAGUGGGUGGUAAUUGCCUCUAACUCAUUGCAAAAUGUAUUGAUAUGAAGGCCUUCACACACACAACUUCAAAGUAAAUAAAAAUCUGUAAUAAUUAGUAGAAAAUGAAAGAUUGUCCUUUCAUUCUCCUGUGUAUAUUUUACAUGGGAUAAUCUGAAGUUUCUUCAAAGAGACAUAGUCAAAAUUGGAUUAUUUAACUUCCUGUUUUAAAUGAAGAGAUUUAUUCUACUAUUGGUCUUUUUUAUUUUGUGUUCAAUCCUUUGUAAUCAUGAAAUUUAGGUGUCAGAUAAGAUACAAGGUAGUCAUUUGAAUUUCAAAAAGUUUUUAAUAUGAGUAUAUCCCAUGCUGUAUUGAAUAUAUACUAAAAAAAUGUUCUUUGCCUAUCAGAAAUGAAAAUAUU